UGGAGAGUGUUUUUGCUGGUGUUGAAGUUGGCUCGAUGCUUAUUUGUUUCGUCGAUUUCAGUUAUUCAGGAUUCACUCCACGAACAUAAACAACGGGU